ACAAUUGAGCAAGUUUUGUACAACCUGUCAAGGUCAUUCAGAUGGCACAUCAAAUUUGAAAAAUAUUUAUUAAUCUAACAAAAGAAAAAAGUAGAUACUAUUUUUUAAGUUUAUGAAACAUAUUUUAAAACUCAAUAAACUACGAGCAAACUAUUGAUUCAUGAUAAGGAUUUUUAAACUCCACAUGAAAAUUGCCAUUGGCCAAGAAAAUACUUACUUCGUCAAUAUUAUGGUCAUAG
rnacentral:misc_RNA from 1 species